UAAUAAGUGUUUUAUGGCACUUUUUAAAUCCAUAUCCACCUUGUGUGCAAUGUCAGUCGAUCUUCUUCAGGGAGAUCGACCAAACAUCAACCUUUAUCUUUUAACUCUUUGUCUGAAAAAUAUUAUGAAUAAACAAUUCAAAAUA
rnacentral:misc_RNA from 1 species